GACGAACGCUGGCGGCGUGCUUAACACAUGCCAGUCGAACGGAAAGGCCCUGCUUUUGUGGGGUGCUCGAGUGGCGAACGGGUGAGUAACACGUGAGUAACCUGCCCUUGACUUUGGGAUGACUUCAGGAAACUGGGGCUAAUACCGGAUAGGAGCUCCUGCUGCAUGGUGGGGGUUGGAAAGUUUCGGCGGUUGGGGAUGGACUCGCGGCUUAUCAGCUUGUUGGUGGGGUAGUGGCUUACCAAGGCUUUGACGGGUAGCCGGCCUGAGAGGGUGACCGGCCACAUUGGGACUGAGAUACGGCCCAGACUCCUACGGGAGGCAGCAGUGGGGAAUAUUGCACAAUGGGCGGAAGCCUGAUGCAGCAACGCCGCGUGCGGGAUGACGGCCUUCGGGUUGUAAACCGCUUUCGCCUGUGACGAAGCGUGAGUGACGGUAAUGUGUAAAGAAGCACCGGCUAACUACGUG
rnacentral:rRNA from 1 species